rnacentral:snRNA from 1 species
ACCGCUUCUCAGGUUUUGGCUAACAUCAGGUGUGUAUCUGUUAUUAGUUUAAUAUCUGAUAUAUCCUCUAUACAAGGAAAAUCUAUUAAAUAAAUUUUUGGAGGAGGGAGACAGAAUAGGAGCUUGCUCUAUCCACUACACACAUUGACAUGGUAUUGCAGUACCUUUAGGAACAAUGCAUCCCCC